AGUCGGAUGCGAACGGCGCUUUCGGGCGUUGAGUAGCAUGGCAGACGGGUGAGGAGCGCGUAUCUGACUGGACUCAGGCUGGGGGAUAGUCCNCUCGAAAGGGGGUUGAAUACCGCAUGUGCUCGGUGCUGUGAGGGCAUCGAGGAAAGUUGGCCUCUGCGGGCACGCUGAUGGCCUGAGACAGGGAUGCGUCCUAUUAGCUAGCUGGUGGGGUAAGGGCCUACCAGGGCGACGAUGGGUAGCUGGUCUGAGAGGAUGAUCAGCCACACUGGGACUGCGACACGGCCCAGACUCCUACGGGAGGCAGCAGUGGGGAAUUUUGCGCAAUGGGCGCAAGCCUGACGCAGCAACGCCGCGUGCAUGACGACGCCUUUCGAGGUGUAAAGUGCUGUCGACCGGGACGAAGGGGCGAGGGUGAACAGCUUUCGCGCAUGACGGUACCGGUGGAGGAAGCCCCGGCUAACUCCGUGCCAGCAGCCGCGGUAAGACGGAGGGGGCGAGCGUUGUUCGGAAUUACUGGGCGUAAAGCGCGCGUAGGCGGUGCAGCAAGUGGUGCGUGAAAGCCCUCGGCUUAACCGGGGACGGGCGUGCCAAACUGUUGGACUGGAGUGCCGGAGGGGGAGGCGGAAUUCCUGGUGGAGCGGUGAAAUGCGUAGAGAUCAGGAAGAACGUCGGUGGCGAAGGCGGCCUCCUGGACGGACACUGACGCUGAGGUGCGACAGCGUGGGGAGCGAACGGGGAUUAGAUACCCCGGUAGU
rnacentral:rRNA from 1 species